UACAGAGACUGCAAGCGUUAUUCGGAUUCACUGGGCGUAAAGGGUGCGCAGGCGCCCGAGUGUGUGAGGUGUGAAAGCCCGGGGCUUAACCCCGGAAUUGCACCUCAAACUACACGGCUAGAGCAUUGGAGAGGGUAGCAGAAUUCAUGGUGUAGCAGUGAAAUGCGUAGAUAUCCGGAGGAACACCAGUGGCGAAGGCGGCCACCUGGGCUGUACCUGACGCUCAAACACGAAAGCUAGGGGAGCAAACGAG
rnacentral:rRNA from 1 species